AUUGAACGCUGGCGGAAGGCCUAACACAUGCAAGUCGAACGAGUGGCGGACGGGUGAGUAAUGUCUGGGAAACUGCCUGACGGAGGGGGAUAACUACUGGAAACGGUAGAUAAUACCGCAUACCAUCAGAUGUGCCCAGAUGGGAUUAGCUUGUUGGUGGGGUAACGGCGCACCAAGACGACGAUCCGUAGCUGGUCUGAGAGGAGGACUAGCCACACUGGAAUUGAGACACGGUCCAGUCUCCUACGGGAGGCAGCAGUGGGGAAUAGUGCACAAUGGGCGCAAGCCUGAUGCAGCCAUGCCGCGUGUAUGAAGAAGGCCUUCGGGUUGUAAAGUACUUUCAGCGGGGAGGCGUUACCCGCAGAAGAAGCACCGGCUAACUCCGUGCCAGCAGCCGCGGUAAUAC
rnacentral:rRNA from 1 species